GACGAACGCUGGCGGCGUGCCUAAUACAUGCAAGUCGAACGCAUUUUCUUUCACCGUAGCUUGCUACACCGAAAGAAAAUGAGUGGCUAACGGGUGAGUAACACUUGCUUAACCUGCCCAUCAGCGGUGGAUAACACUUUGAAACAGGUGCUAAUACCGCAUCGUUCCAUUUACUGCAUGGUAGUUGGAUGAAAGGCGCUUUUACGUCACUGAUGGAUGGACCCGCGGUGCAUUAGCUAGUGGGUGGUGUAACGGCCUACCAAGGCUGCGAUGCAUAGCCGACCUGAGAGGGGGAGCGGCAAAACUGGGACGGAGACACGGCCAACACCCCUACGGGAGGCAGCAGUAGGGAAUCUUCGGCAAUGGAAGCAAGUCGGACCGAGCAACGCCGCGUGAGUGAAGAAGGUUUUCGGAUCGUAAAACUCUGUUGUUAGAAAAGAACAAGGAUGAGAGUGGAAAGUUCAUCCCUUGACGGUAUCUAACCAGAAAGCCACGGCUAACUACGUG
rnacentral:rRNA from 1 species